GACGGGCCCGCGGCCGAUUAGCUUGUUGGUGAGGUAACGGCCCACCAAGGCGACGAUCGGUAGCUGGUCUGAGAGGACGAUCAGCCACACUGGGACUGAGACACGGCCCAGACUCCUACGGGAGGCAGCAGUGGGGAAUCUUGCGCAAUGGGCGAAAGCCUGACGCAGCGACGCCGCGUGGGGGAAGAAGGCCUUCGGGUUGUAAACCCCUUUCAGGAGGGACGAAGCCACUCGGGUUAAUACCCCAGAGGGUGACGGUACCUCCAGAAGAAGCCCCGGCUAACUACGUGCCAGCAGCCGCGGUAAUACGUAGGGGGCAAGCGUUGUCCGGAUUUAUUGGGCGUAAAGCGCGUGUAGGCGGCCACGCAGGUCCGCUGUGAAAACUCGAGGCUCAACCUCGAGAUGUCGGUGGAAACCGCGUGGCUAGAGUCCGGAAGAGGAGAGUGGAAUUCCCGGUGUAGCGGUGAAAUGCGCAGAUAUCGGGAAGAACACCCAUGGCGAAGGCAGCUCUCUGGGACGGUACUGACGCUGAGACGCGAAAGCGUGGGGAGCGAACAGGAUUAGAUACCCUGGUAGUCCACGCCGUAAACGAUGGAUGCUAGGUGU
rnacentral:rRNA from 1 species